GACGAACGCUGGCGGCGUGCUUAACACAUGCAAGUCGAACGGUAAGGCCCCUUCGGGGGUACACGAGUGGCGAACGGGUGAGUAACACGUGAGCAACCUGCCCUUGACUCUGGAAUAACAGUUGGAAACAGCUGCUAAUACUGGAUAUUUACUUGUCCCUUCCUGGGGGUGAGUGGAAAGCUCCGGCGGUCAGGGAUGGGCUCGCGGCCUAUCAGCUUGUUGGUGAGGUAAUGGCNCACCAAGGCUUCGACGGGUAGCCGGCCUGAGAGGGCGACCGGCCACACUGGGACUGAGAUACGGCCCAGACUCCUACGGGAGGCAGCAGUGGGGAAUAUUGCACAAUGGGCGCAAGCCUGAUGCAGCAACGCCGCGUGCGGGAUGACGGCC
rnacentral:rRNA from 1 species